AUAAAAAUACAUUUAUAAUUAAAAUAAAUAAAAUAACAUAAAGAAAUAAUAUAAAGAAAUAAGCUUUAAUAUUUUUAACAUAUUGCACGCCAUUUGAUAAAAGUUUCUAGCCACUAACUUAAAAAAUAAUUUCAGCCCAAAAAAUCUAGAUUGUUGCCAAUUAAAAAUUAAGACAAAACAAUUGCCAAUGCCACAAUCCAUAUACCUUGGAACUUCGAUCUUAUCCACCCACCACCCCCACUUUCUUUUUCACCAGCAAACACUUGAUUAAAUCUCAAGUUCAAUUCCAGCAAGCUGCAAGACUUUGAUCGGCUGCUCUUGAGAUCAAACAUUCGUGGUUAGGUUAGUUUAAAAAGUAAUUUCUUAAUUAUUUAAAUAUUGUUUGCAUUUUUUAAUGGGUUUUGUUUUCUAUUGCUUCCUUCAUCCGUGUGGCUAUAGCUUUUGCAGUUUGGUUUGAAAGUAAUUCUUUUUA
rnacentral:lncRNA from 1 species